rnacentral:rRNA from 1 species
GUAACAGAGAGUUCGAUCAUGGCUCAGAUUGAACGCUGGCGGGAUGCUUUACACAUGCAAGUCGAACGGCAGCACGGACUUCGGUCUGGUGGCGAGUGGCGAACGGGUGAGUAAUGUAUCCGGAACCAUUACUUACAGUAGCGGGGGAUAACUACGCGAAGCGUAGCUAAUGCCGCAUACGCCCUUCGGGGAAAGCGGGGGACCUUCGGGCCUCGCACUAUUAAGAGGAAACGGCCGAUAUCGGAUUAGCUAGUUGGUGGGGUAACGGCUCACCAAGGCGACGAUCCGUAGCUGGUUUGAGAGGACGACCAGCCACACUGGGACGAGACCCGGCCCAGACUCCUACGGGAGGCAGCAGUGGGGAAUUUUGGACCAAUGGGGGAAACCUGAUCCAGCCAUCCGCGUGUGCGAUGAAGGCCUUCGGGUUGUAAAGCACUUUUGGCAGGAAAGAAACGGCACGGGAUAAUACCCCGUGCAACUGACAGUACCUGCAGAAUAAGCACCGGCUAACUACGUGCCAGCAGCCGCGGUAAUACGUAGGGUGCGAAGCGUUAAUCGGAAUUACUGGGCGUAAAGCGUGCGCGGGCAGUUCGGAAAGAAAGAUGUGAAAUCCCAGAGCUUGCUUUGGAACUGCAUUUUUAACUACCGAGCUAGAGUGUGUCAGAGGGAGGUGGAAUUCCGCGUGUAGCAGUGAAAUGCGUAGAUAUGCGGAGGGUACCGAUGGCGAAGGCAGCCUCACCAGGAUAACACUGACGCUCAUGCACGAAAGCGUGGGGAGCAAACAGGGUUGCGGAAAUACCCUGGUAGUCCACGCCUAAACGAUGUCAACUAGCUGUUGGGGCCUUUGGGCCUUGGUAGCGCAACUAACGCGUGAAGUUGACCGCCUGGGAAUACAGUCGCAAGAUUAAAACUCAAAGGAAUUGACGGGGACCCGCACAAGCGGUGGAUGAUGUGGAUUAAUUCGAUGCAACGCGAAAAACCUUACCUACCCUUGACAUGUCUGGAAUCCCGAAGAGAUUUGGGAGUGCUCGCAAGAGAACCGGAACACAGGUGCUGCAUGGCUGUCGUCAGCUCGUGUCAUUGAGAUGUUGGGUUAAGUCCGCAACGAGCGCAACCCUUGUCAUUAGUUAUACGAAAGGGCACUCUAAUGAGACUGCCGGUGACAAACCGGAGGAAGGUGGGGAUGACGUCAAGUCCUCAUGGCCCUUAUGGGUGAGGGCUUCAUACGUCAUACAAUGGUCGGGACAGAGGGUCGCCAACCCGCGAAGGGGAGCCAAUCCAGAAACCCGAUCGUAGUCCGGAUCGCAGUCUGCAACUCGACUGCGUGAAGUCGGAAUCGCUAGUAAUCGCGGAUCGGCGUAAUGUGAUGAAUACGUUCCCGGGUCUUGUACACACCGCCCGUCACACCAUGGGAGUGGGUUUACCAGAAGUAGUUAGCCUAACCGUAAGGAGGGCGAUUACCACGGUAGGAUUCAUGACUGGGGUGAAGUCGUAACAAGGUAG